AGUGAACGCUGGCGGUAGGCCUAACACAUGCAAGUCGAACGGCAGCACAGUAAGAGCUUGCUCUUACGGGUGGCGAGUGGCGGACGGGUGAGGAAUACAUCGGAAUCUACUUUUUCGUGGGGGAUAACGUAGGGAAACUUACGCUAAUACCGCAUACGACCUACGGGUGAAAGCAGGGGAUCUUCGGACCUUGCGCGAUUGAAUGAGCCGCUGUCGGUUUAGCUGGUUGGGGGGGUAAAGGCCCACCAAGGCGACGAUACGUAGCUGGACUGAGAGGAUGAUCAGCCACACUGGAACUUAGACACGGUCCAGACGCCUACGGGAGGCAGCAGUGGGGAAUAUUGGACAAUGGGCGCAAGCCUGAUCCAGCCAUACCGCGUGGGUGAAGAAGGCCUUCGGGUUGUAAAGCCCUUUUGUUGGGAAAGAAAAGCAGCAGGUUAAUACCCCGCUGUUCUGACGGUACCCAAAGAAUAAGCACCGGCUAACUUCGUG
rnacentral:rRNA from 1 species